rnacentral:rRNA from 1 species
UUGGACCUGAUAUCAGGCAAGAUUACCCGCUGAACUUAAGCAUAUA